rnacentral:rRNA from 1 species
GUUGUAUGGUUAAGUGACUAAGCGUACACGGUGGAUGCCUUGGCAGUCAGAGGCGAUGAAAGACGUAGUAACUUGCGAUAAGCCCAGAUUAGGUAGUAACAACCAUUUGAGUCUGGGAUUUCUGAAUGGGGAAACCCACGUGCAUAAGCACGUAUCCUUACCUGAAUACAUAGGGUAAGGAGGCGAACCGGGGGAACUGAAACAUCUAAGUACCCCGAGGAAAAGAAAUCAACCGAGAUUCCGAAAGUAGCGGCGAGCGAAAUUGGACUAGCCCUUAAGCUUUACACGCGUUAGACGAACGGUCUGGAAAGUCCGACGAUACAGGGUGAUAGUCCCGUAGUUGACGACGUGUGUUCAGUGAAAUCGAGUAGGGCGGGACACGUGAUAUCCUGUCUGAAUAUGGGGGGACCAUCCUCCAAGGCUAAAUACUACUGACUGACCGAUAGUGAACCAGUACCGUGAGGGAAAGGCGAAAAGAACCCCUGUGAGGGGAGUGAAAUAGAACCUGAAACCGUGUACGUACAAGCAGUAGGAGCAGGCUUUGUCCUGUGACUGCGUACCUUUUGUAUAAUGGGUCAGCGACUUAUAUUCAGUGGCAAGGUUAACCAUCUAGGGGAGCCGUAGGGAAACCGAGUCUUAACUGGGCGUUCAGUCUCUGGAUAUAGACCCGAAACCAGGUGAUCUAGCCAUGGGCAGGUUGAAGGUUGAGUAACAUCAACUGGAGGACCGAACCGACUAAUGUUGAAAAAUUAGCGGAUGACUUGUGGCUAGGGGUGAAAGGCCAAUCAAACCUGGAGAUAGCUGGUUCUCCCCGAAAGCUAUUUAGGUAGCGCCUCGGACGAAUACUACUGGGGGUAGAGCACUGUUAAGGCUAGGGGGUCAUCCCGACUUACCAACCCUUUGCAAACUCCGAAUACCAGUAAGUACUAUCCGGGAGACACACGGCGGGUGCUAACGUCCGUCGUGGAGAGGGAAACAACCCAGACCGCCAGCUAAGGUCCCAAAUUACUACUAAGUGGGAAACGAUGUGGGAAGGCUCAGACAGCCAGGAUGUUGGCUUAGAAGCAGCCAUCAUUUAAAGAAAGCGUAAUAGCUCACUGGUCGAGUCGGCCUGCGCGGAAGAUGUAACGGGGCUAAGUAGUAAACCGAAGCUGCGGCAAUAUACUUUUGUAUAUUGGGUAGGGGAGCGUUCUGUAAGCGGUUGAAGGUGUGUGGUAACGCAUGCUGGACGUAUCAGAAGUGCGAAUGCUGACAUGAGUAACGAUAAAGGGGGUGAAAAACCUCCUCGCCGGAAGACCAAGGGUUCCUGUCCAACGUUAAUCGGGGCAGGGUAAGUCGACCCCUAAGGCGAGGCCGAAAGGCGUAGUCGAUGGGAAACGGGUUAAUAUUCCCGUACUUCUUACAAUUGCGAUGGGGGGACGGAGAAGGCUAGGUGGGCCUGGCGACGGUUGUCCAGGUUCAAGUGCGUAGGCUUGAGAGUUAGGUAAAUCCGGCUCUCUUUAAGGCUGAGACACGACGUCGAGCAUCUACGGAUGUGAAGUCAUUGAUGCCAUGCUUCCAGGAAAAGCCUCUAAGCUUCAGAUUGUAAGGAAUCGUACCCCAAACCGACACAGGUGGUCGGGUAGAGAAUACCAAGGCGCUUGAGAGAACUCGGGUGAAGGAACUAGGCAAAAUGGUACCGUAACUUCGGGAGAAGGUACGCUCUCGACGGUGAAGUCCCUCGCGGAUGGAGCUAUUGAGAGUCGCAGAUACCAGGUGGCUGCAACUGUUUAUUAAAAACACAGCACUGUGCAAAAUCGUAAGAUGACGUAUACGGUGUGACGCCUGCCCGGUGCCGGAAGGUUAAUUGAUGGGGUUAGACUUCGGUCGAAGCUCUUGAUCGAAGCCCCGGUAAACGGCGGCCGUAACUAUAACGGUCCUAAGGUAGCGAAAUUCCUUGUCGGGUAAGUUCCGACCUGCACGAAUGGCGUAAUGAUGGCCACGCUGUCUCCACCCGAGACUCAGUGAAAUUGAAAUCGCUGUGAAGAUGCAGUGUACCCGCGGCUAGACGGAAAGACCCCGUGAACCUUUACUACAGCUUGGCACUGAACAUUGACCCUACAUGUGUAGGAUAGGUGGGAGGCUUUGAAGCACGUACGCCAGUAUGUGUGGAGCCGUCCUUGAAAUACCACCCUUGUAGUGUUGAUGUUCUAACGUUGACCCCUUAUCGGGGUUGCGGACAGUGCCUGGUGGGUAGUUUGACUGGGGCGGUCUCCUCCCAAAGAGUAACGGAGGAGCACGAAGGUGGGCUAAUCACGGUUGGACAUCGUGAGGUUAGUGCAAUGGCAUAAGCCCGCUUGACUGCGAGAAUGACAAUUCGAGCAGGUGCGAAAGCAGGUCAUAGUGAUCCGGUGGUUCUGAAUGGAAGGGCCAUCGCUCAACGGAUAAAAGGUACUCCGGGGAUAACAGGCUGAUACCGCCCAAGAGUUCAUAUCGACGGCGGUGUUUGGCACCUCGAUGUCGGCUCAUCACAUCCUGGGGCUGAAGUCGGUCCCAAGGGUAUGGCUGUUCGCCAUUUAAAGUGGUACGCGAGCUGGGUUUAGAACGUCGUGAGACAGUUCGGUCCCUAUCUGCCGUGGGCGUUGGAAGAUUGAAGGGGGCUGCUCCUAGUACGAGAGGACCGGAGUGGACGAACCUCUGGUGUUCGGGUUGUGUCGCCAGACGCAUUGCCCGGUAGCUAAGUUCGGAAUCGAUAACCGCUGAAAGCAUCUAAGCGGGAAGCGAGCCCUGAGAUGAGUCUUCCCUGAUACUUUAAGUAUCCUAAAGGGUUGUCGGAGACUACGACGUUGAUAGGUCAGGUGUGUAAGUGCUGUGAGGCAUUGAGCUAACUGAUACUAAUUGCCCGUGAGGCUUAACCAUACAACACCCAAGGGGUUU